GGGGACGCAUGGAUUCGACAGGGGAUGUCACCGCGGAAUUGCAGGUCGGGGCGCCUUCUACCUCGUUAAAAAGUGGGCAAAAAAGUUAACUGGCAAUAAAGAGCUAGCACUAGCCGCUUAAGCGGCUACGUCCUUCAUGACCGAUCCCCGAAGGAUAUGAAAGGGCGCCAAUAGACGGGGUGCAGCCAGUCAGACGCCGAUAACACUGGCUAAAGAUAAUCGGCUAGUAGGGCCCAAGCGUCAGCCGAUCGGGGCUGGGCCUUUCGAAUAUUAAGACCGGCUAAACCUGUAGCAUAUUCCGAUCGGGGUGUCUUCUGGACGGGGAGUUCGACCCUCCCCCGUCUCCACCA
rnacentral:tmRNA from 1 species